GAUGAACGCUGGCGGCGUGCUUAAUACAUGCAAGUCGAGCGAACGGACGAGAAGCUUGCUUCUCUGACGUUAGCGGCGGACGGGUGAGUAACACGUGGAUAACCUACCUAUAAGACUGGGAUAACUUCGGGAAACCGGCGCUAACACCGGAUAAUAUCUUGAACCGUAUGGUUCAAUAGUGAAAGACGGUCUUGCUGUCACUUAUAGAUGGAUCUGCGCUGCAUUAGCUAGUUGGUAAGGUAACGGCUUAUCAAGGCAACGAUGCGUAGCCGACCUGAGAGGGUGAUCGGCCACACUAGAACGGAGACACGGUCCAGACGCCUGCGGGAGGCAGCAGUAGGGAAUCUGCCGCAGUGGGCGAAAGCCUGGCGGAACAGCGCCGCGUGAGUGGUAGAGAUCUUCGGAUCGUGAAACUCUGUUAUUAGGGAAAAACAUAUGUGUAAGUAGCUGUGCACAGCUUGACGGUACCGAGUCAGAAAGCCACGGCUAACUACGUG
rnacentral:rRNA from 1 species